UUUAGCGCUGGAUAAGGAAAGAAAUAUAUCUGCAAGCCGCUGGUUGAGGUUCAGGCUUAAUCGAAAAUGAUAGAUAUAGAUACAAUUUAGCACAUACAUAGAUACAUGCACAGCUGGACUAUUUGUGAGUGCGUGCGGGUCGACUGGUUCCUGUGUCCUGCUUCCUUUGCCUGUACGUGCAUGUAACUAAAUUAAGGAAAGACCUGUGAGCAUCAAGCAACGGCUAACGGGCCCAAGAACAUUUGAAGAUGACCGCCAUGCGAACUGAAGUACUCAUUCUGCUUCCUUCGCUCUUUACUGUUGCUUUCGGCGGUGGGCCUAUUAAGGAACCGAUAGAGUUACGAGGGUAUUACCCGGAUAACGCAGGAUAUCGCAACGUUUUUGUAGGGUGUAGGUAGGAGCCGGGACAACCAGUAUUGCCAGAAGCAAAGGCUCUAUGAUGAAGAGACAUUUCGCGACUUUUCAGAUAGGAUCCAUCUGCUUGCUACCUAUAUCGGGGUAAAAGACACUGCAUCUUCGAGAGCGAGGAUGGUUGGCACUACAAUUGGUUCUACCGAACCUGCUUUAAGGAUGACCUUACGCACUGUGGUGUUGGUGAAAAUAAGUUCCAUAGUUGUGAGCAGUGCGUGAAUAAAUGCAGAGUCUCGGUGUGUGCUGAAAAAGCGAAGCCGCCGCCUUCGUGGAGCCCACCAUUCACACUUGGAGGAAUGUGACUUUAUUUGGUUUUACUUCAAUUGAAUGAUUUAGAUACCUAUGUAUACCUGUCUGUCUAUCUUAAAGAGAACUAACAGACAGUAAUGCCAAGGCCGCUGUAGGGGAUGGUAUUGAUAGUAAUUAGGAUGUAAAUGUGAAGAAAGUGAAGUGCACGAAAAGUGGUUCGGUGACCUGCGACCGUCGAAUAACGCGUACGAUGCUCUACCACUGAGCUACGGCGGCUGUAAUACCCCCGUGCACUUUUAUGGGGUAUAUAUGUGGAUUUAAACCUAGGAGUUAUAGGCAACGUAAUGGGGGGGGGGGGGGGCAAUCUACCGGGACUUUCAACAGUGGUCAUUGUAGGCUACGCAACAGAAAACCUAAAACUAAGGCGAAGUUUCAUUCAACACAGCAAUCACAUAAAUAUUUAAUAAAAUUUGUCUUAGCUUCGGCUAUGAAGAUUGUCCUCCGUAAAUCACGACGGACCACGCACUGUAGGAUCUCACUGUGCCGGCCGCUAACGCGACGCUUGAGAGCAUUGCGCUCCGGCACUGCAUAGGAAGCUACUGCUGAGCUAUGGUUCAAUAAAGUUGGAGCACGGCGUCAUGCUUUUAAUCUGCUCUGCCUUGCCUAAAAUGUACACAAUCGACGACGCAGAUACGCGAGGGAACCAGCAAACGUUUUAAGGACCGAUGAAAUAUUCUUCCUGUUUCAGAGAAUUCAUUUUCUUUAUUCGAAAAAGAAUAGCGUUGCCCUACUUUGAGUCAAUGAAUGCGCAGUAUUGUUUUAGUUGGGCCAAUCUGGAAGAGCUAAAAACGGUUUCUGCUUUAGUAUCCGAUUAACCUGCUUCGCCUUGCUUAUCAUAUGGUAGCUUGCAGCGAUCGUGGCGGCUUUCAACAUGGGGAUAAAUAAGGUAUUUGACUAGUGCAGAGUGCGAUCCCAUCUUUCAAGCUUGCCCCUCAACUUGAUCUACCAUCGUGCAAAGACGACAACAAGGCCCAUAAUUCCCAGCCAACAUACAAUACUGACAGCGCCAUCGUAUAAGCACGGCAAGAAAGGCACAUGAUUCCCAGCCAACAUGUAUUAUUGGCAGUGCCAUCGUACAAGGACCGCAAUAAGGCGCAUGAUUCGCAGGCAACAUAGAAUACUGGCACAGCCAUCCUGUAAGGACGGCAACAAUGGAAUACCGUUGCCAGCCAAAGCACAAUAUUGGCAGCGUCGUUGUAUAAAGAUGGCAAAAACAGUCCAUCGUUGUAAGUCAUAAAAAAGUGGAACUUCUAUUCUGCGUUGGAAAUACAACGCAGUGCUUUUGCAGAGCAUUGCGAGAAGCACGACCACAAAAUUGACUUCGAGGGCGCUUCCAUCAUAGAAACGGAAAGGAAUCUGGGAAGGAGGCUCUUACUCGAGUCGUGGCACAUCCAGAACACACCUGCGAAUGUGAACCGGUCCCUCGGAACAAUGCCUCCUAUCAACGUGCACGGCCUCCGGAGCGUGAGGGAAAGAGAAAGGCGGAGCCAAAAACAAGCUGCGACGAAGCCUCCCUGAUCAGCACAGUCACCCCUGAAGAAGAGACCAAGCCGGUCUCGAAACGUCGGGUUUCCUCCAAGAAUUUGUGGCUGGAGGUAUUUCAACUUAAUAAAAGUUACUCUUAAUUGUGUGAUACAGCCAAUGUAUACAUCGCAACUGUAUAAAACAAAAAAAACCUGCCGUUACAUUGAUUGAAGCUGUAUAUAGCGUUGAUGAGUUAAUGGAGUAUAAUGGAUUUCUAGUCUGCUUCGCAGUGGGCCUCUGCGCUGGUGCGGCUUUUCACACGAUCACCGAAAUUAUUCUGACGGCUUUCUUAGCAGCGAACAAUGAAAACAUUCCAUGUGACUUCAACCACACCGCGUAUUCAACUACACGACUGGUUGGAUUGCAGGACUGUACAAUUACAAGCCACAAGAGUGUGGCUGUAUUUUCUCAAUGAAAUAACGAGGGUCCAGGGUAGCGCAGUCUACCAUCGUACUUCGUCCCCUGGACCCCUUCCCACGUUAUUUCAUUGCGCAAAAACAGCCUUGUAAUUGAACAUGAACCGACUAGCCCAGCAACGUGUACUUCUAGACUACAGGAUUGUAGCUUUUUUGUGUGCGCGCUACAGCGAUGUGCCGUCCAAGACCGCAGUAUCGCCCGCGGCAUCUCCAAAUGAGCGAUCAGUUAUGUUUGCACUCUCAACGCUUCACGCAACCAGACGUGUUCACUUUGAAUAAAUGUUCUCGGUGUUCGGGAGGCCGCAGAGGCAGCGCGACGCCAUCUUUUGCUCAAGAAUUUUACAUCCUCUCCUCCCGGCAAUGGAUAGCGUGGUGGUGGCUGGUCGUAAAAGGCUUAUCACCUUACGGCUGCCCCGCCCACGACGGUUCAAUGGUGUUUCCGUGCUUUCAGUGCCUCUGAAAACGAGGGAGGCUGAGAUCGCGGGAGACGACGAGACCUCAGAAGAUACGUUACGUUUUCGGCCCCUUCUGGCCUGUGGUAAUGCUUUGUAAGUCAGUGGCGGUUACUUCCCCUCGUUCGGUCUCCCGGCAUCGGCGGACGCGGGCCCCUCAGUAACCAGUCGGGAGUGAUGCGUCGGAUACCGAGAGUGGAUGCCCAGAUUCUACGGCGAUGUCAUAGUGAGAAAGCAGCUGCCCUGCUCUUCUUGGGACCCGAUCGUUUAGACUUUUGACGAGCCAUGCGCAGAUGAGACCGAUGUGUUCUGACAACACGUAAACUUUCCGCUGGAUUUGUCUGUUCGUAUCGCGUUCUUAAGUCGUUUCCUUCUUUGAUUGCAUGUUACUUUCCGUGUUUUUUGUACGUGAAAUAUGUGUUGUGUUUAAUAAUGUCUGCGUUAUCACGUAUUCUCUUUAGAUUUCUUGGUUUGUCAAUAGCCAUGUGUUGGGCUUCGUUGUGCGCGUCGAAGUAGGUUAAGUGUUCGCCCUUAGCGUUGUUAGCAUUUGCGUGUGUUAUUUUCUUCUUUAUCGCGUUGUCGUGCGCCAGCUAAACAUCUGUUUUUUAUUUGCACUUCGCCGCUCAUUUCGCGCAACGAAAAUUUUUAUUAGUUGUGAAGUUGUUGCUUUCUUUGAAGCUCUAGUCACUAUCACUAUUUAGUAAAUAUAUAGGCAGAAACUUUCUGGUUGUUCAAAGUGGUUAUGAAUUUGGCUGUAUGGAAUGUCUGCUCAAGUGUAGAUGUUCAUUUAUUUCACUUUGUAUCAUCCUUCGCUUUUACCUCAGUUCCUUUGGAACCUUCGGUGAACUGACAACUGAAAUACGCGCUAAGACAGAGACAUUUUGGCUCGCUGUGUUUGUGAGUGGUGCCUUUUCUGUGAUUCGUAAUAUAAGAGUGUUAUUCAAAGUAUUUAGUGUCGGUUCUAUGCAGUUGUUAUCUCCAAGCAAGCAGUCAACAAAACAAAGCGCGAAAACCUAAAUUCUUUUCAAACUUGGAGUACUUUACCAAAUGUAUACAUGCAAAGUAAACUUGUUUUUACUCUCA